rnacentral:rRNA from 1 species
GACGAACGCUGGCGGCGUGCUUAACACAUGCAAGUCGAACGGAAAGGCCCUGCUUUUGUGGGGUUCUCGAGUGGCGAACGGGUGAGUAACACGUGAGUAACCUGCCCUUGACUUUCGGAUAACUUCAGGAAACUGGGGCUAAUACCGGAUAGGAGCUCCUGCUGCAUGGUGGGGGUUGGAAAGUUUCGGCGGUUGGGUAUGGACUCGCGGCUUAUCAGCUUGUUGGUGGGGUAGUGGCUUACCAAGGCUUUGACGGGUAGCCGGCCUGAGAGGGUGACCGGCAACAUGGGGACUGAGAUACGGACCAGACUCAUACGGGAGGCAGCAGUGGGGAAUAUUGCACAAUGGGCGGAAGACUGAUGCAGCAACGCCGCGUGCGGGAUGACGGCCUUCGGGUUGUAAACCGCUUUCGCCUGUGACGAAGCGUGAGUGACGGUAAUGGGUAAAGAAGCACCGGCUAACUACGUG